AGAGUUUGAUCCUGGCUCAGAACGAACGUUAGCGGCGCGCCUAACACAUGCAAGUCGUGCGAGAAAGGGCUUCGGCCCCGGUAAAGCGGCGCACGGGUGAGUAACACGUAGGUUAUCUCCCCUCGAGUGGUGGAUAACUCUCCGAAAGGAGAGCUAAUACAGCAUGAGACCACGGCAACGCGGUCAAAGCAGGCCUCUGUACACAAGCUUGCGCUCGAGGAUGAGCCUGCGGCCCAUCAGUUAGUUGGUAGGGUAACGGCUUACCAAGACGAAGACGGGUAGCUGGUCUGAGAGGAUGAACAGCCACACUGGAACUGAGACACGGUCCAGACUCCUACGGGAGGCAGCAGUGGGGAAUCUUGCGCAAUGGGCGAAAGCCUGACGCAGCGACGCCGCGUGAGCGAUGAAGGCCUUCGGGUUGUAAAGCUCUGUGGGGAGGGAAGAAUAAGGGCAAGCUAAUACCUUGUCUGAUGACGGUACCUCCUUAGCAAGCACCGGCUAACUCUGUGCCAGCCGCCGCGGUAAUAC
rnacentral:rRNA from 1 species